GGGGGCGAAUUGGAAUCGACCGGACGGUUGAAAUAUGGGUUGCGUGUCGUGGUUGGUCAGUUGGCCACGUUAAAAGCUGACCACAUAUUUACUUGCCGAGAAUAGUCUCGCAAUGGCCGCCUAGGAAUAGGUUGCCCCGGUUGCGGAAUUUUGCUGAAGAGUUCCAAAAACCGGUCACCAAUUUCAGCUCGCUUUGAACCACGCCGAAUACGUUCGAAGUUAAAAACCGUUUUCGGAUAGCCUGACUAGGCGGUGUGUCGACUGACACCCUGACAGGUGAAACUCAAUAGUCGACUACACACGUAGAAGCU
rnacentral:tmRNA from 1 species